UAUUAAAAUGAAAUCAACCAAAUUAUCACAAACCCUAUCACUCUGUCUCUCAUACUUGCCGUCUUCAUCAUUCUCCCAUCACCACCAUCUUCGUUUCAUCAGUUCCGGCCAAAUCACGACCAUAAAAUCACGCCAACAAAGAAACGGUCACCAUACAAGACCGUCGGACCACCACUGGUUCAACACGGGCUCACCAGGACCCUCCUUCAACAUCUUCCAACCACCGUCUACCCUUUCAAUCCUUUGUUCUUCAUCUCUCCUAUCAUGAAAACAUAAUAGGGUUUGAGUAUGGAAUGGAUUCGAAACAGAGAAAUCCACCGCCAAAACCCCGAUCCCCAAAUCACAGAUAGCUGUUGUGGCGGCUGACACGAAGCAGUCUUCACCUCCGGUUGCAUCAGGGUUUCAUCAUGUUGUUUAUAGAUGGAUUGCCAUUGACUAAUGGCGGUGCUAAUGUGAUGGGGAAGCCGAUGCCUAGGGCUCAAUGGGACUCGGGGCUAUUCGCGUGUCUUCGUCGUAACGAUGAGUUUUGUACCAGCGAUCUUGAAGUCUCCACGACAAUGCAGGUGAAGGGAAAAAGCCAAGGGGUUGCUGCCUCUUUUGAUUUCAUCGGAAACACAACCCCAUCCUAGUGGUUAUUCUUGGCAGGGAACGAAGAAGAAGAAAGGGAAAGAAGGAGCAUAAAUUAGUUCAUCAAUUUCAACAACAAAAAGUGGGUUCAAUGGAGGUUUCAUGGGUCUUGAUUUACUCGAAAUUCAACAACUAACGAUGACUAGAAAGAUACAAUGAAUAAACAUGCAUAUAGUGGGAGGUGGGAGAUUUACCAAAUGAAACAUCGACACCAAUACUCUUUCGGAAGAAGCGCAAAUGUGUUUUAUUCAUUUAUGGUUGUAAUUGUAGUACUAGUUUCCGUUUCAAAAAAAUAUAUAUUGUAACUUAUUCAUUUACUAUUAUAAUUAUAUUCUUAUAUGAAUAGAGAUGUGUUUUAUUGAUUUAUAUAUGAGUACGAUUUUAGUUGA